rnacentral:rRNA from 1 species
CCAGUGGCGGUCUCGCCGCAGCCUCUCCUGCGCAGUAGUUUGCACACUCGCACCGGGAGCGCGGCGCGGCCACAGCCGUAAAACACCCCAAACUUCUGAAAUGUUGACCUCGGAUCAGGUAGGAAUACCCGCUGAACUUAAGCAUAUCAAAAGUGGGGAAAGACUC